rnacentral:misc_RNA from 1 species
GUGAAUCAUCGAAUUUUUGAACGCAAAUUGCACUCUCCGGUUUUCCGGGAGAGGAUGCCGGUUUGUGGGUCUGUUUAAAAAAUUAUCGAGUCUGCUGCUGUGGUUGCGCUUCGGUAUUGGGUCAUCCUCCACCUUUCGGGGUCGUAGGUGACCUAAAAUUUUUCUUACGAUUUCUACGAACGUGUCUAAGAAUUUCUUGUACGUUCGUGACAUACAAAUCAUAUU